rnacentral:rRNA from 1 species
AUUGAACGCUGGCGGCAUGCCUUACACAUGCAAGUCGAACGUGAAAGGGGGGCAACCCCCGAGUAGAGUGGCGGACGGGUGAGCAACACAUCGGAACGUACCCAGUAGUGGGGGACAACCUCGAGAAAUCGAGGCUAAUACCGCAUACGACCCACGGGUGAAAGCGGGGGACCGCAAGGCCUCGCGCUAUUGGAGCGGCCGAUGUCCGAUUAGCUUGUUGGUGGGGUAACGGCCCACCAAGGCGACGAUCGGUAGCUGGUCUGAGAGGAUGAUCAGCCACACUGGGACUGAGACACGGCCCAGACUCCUACGGGAGGCAGCAGUGGGGAAUUUUGGACAAUGGGGGCAACCCUGAUCCAGCCAUGCCGCGUGCGGGAAGAAGGCC